CAGACGAAUCGUGAGCUACGUGUGGGGCUAACUUAGGUGGGAGAGUGAAUGGUAAAAGGUAGUAUGAACUUUUUUAAAGAUACAUUUAUUUACGGCGAUGAAACAAAAUAGAAAGAAAAAUUGCAGAGUGAUAAAAUUCUAUACAAGCCAUAUAUUCGAUAAGUAAAAAGGUCAAUAAGUAAUAAGUUUAAACAAUGACCCAGAGUAAAUCAGCAGUAAGAAUC